rnacentral:rRNA from 1 species
UAGGGAAUCUUCCACAAUGGACGCAAGUCUGAUGGAGCAACGCCGCGUGAGUGAAGAAGGUUUUCGGAUCGUAAAGCUCUGUUGUUGGUGAAGAAGGAUAGAGGCAGUAACUGGUCUUUAUUUGACGGUAAUCAACCAGAAAGUCACGGCUAACUACGUGCCAGCAGCCGCGGUAAUACGUAGGUGGCAAGCGUUGUCCGGAUUUAUUGGGCGUAAAGCGAGCGCAGGCGGAAUGAUAAGUCUGAUGUGAAAGCCCACGGCUCAACCGUGGAACUGCAUCGGAAACUGUCAUUCUUGAGUGCAGAAGAGGAGAGUGGAAUUCCAUGUGUAGCGGUGGAAUGCGUAGAUAUUUGGAAGAACACCAGUGGCGAAGGCGGCUCUCUGGUCUGCAACUGACGCUGAGGCUCGAAAGCAUGGGUAGCGAACAGG